GAUGAACGCUGACAGAAUGCUUAACACAUGCAAGUCAUUGGCGAAGCUGCGCUUGCGCAGUCUAGCCAAGGCGGACGGGUGAGUAACGCGUAAGGAACUUGCCUGCAGACAGGGAUAACAGACGGAAACGACUGAUAACACCUGGUAUUGUCAGGCUGGCGCAUGCCGGCCUGAUGAAAGGAGACGCUGCAGGAGAGCCUUGCGUCCUAUUAGCUAGUUGGUGGGGUAACGGCCCACCAAGGCGAUGAUAGGUAGCCGGCCUGAGAGGGUGAACGGCCACAAGGGGACUGAGAUACGGCCCUUACUCCUACGGGAGGCGGCAGUGGGGAAUAUUGGACAAUGGGGGCAACCCUGAUCCAGCAAUUCUGUGUGCACGAAGAAGGUUUUCGGAUUGUAAAGUGCUUUCAGCAGGGAAGAAGAAAGUGACGGUACCUGCAGAAGAAGCGACGGCUAAAUACGUG
rnacentral:rRNA from 1 species